AAUGACUCUGCUCCAGAGUUCCACCCCUACUGCUAGUUCUGUGCUCUUUCUGCUGCUGGCCCACACCCCCAACUGACACAGUGUCUGGUGUCCUGUCGGAACACAUCCUCUGCCAGCAGGAGCACUCAUGCAGUCACGUGUCUCUGCCAGCAUGAAGCCUCAAAGCUAAAAGGAAGCUGCCCAUGGGGGCUGGGAAGCUGGGCUUUGAGCAAGCCAAGAUAGCGCUCCAGGUGAUUUAGAAGUCCAUCUCUAAGUAGCCCAAGAAGAAAAAUGGGCAUAGAUUCGUUCACAUCACUGACAUGAACAGACUGGAAAGGACUCAGGAACAACUCGGCUGAGAAAUACCAACAGUGUCCCUGGGGCUCCAGUCCUCUCUCU
rnacentral:lncRNA from 1 species